GAUGAACGCUGGCGGCGUGCCUAAUACAUGCAAGUCGAGCGAACGGGCGAUGAGCUUGCUUCGCUGAUGUUUGCGGCGGAGGGGUGAAUAACACGUGUAUCCCCUCCCUAUAUGUCUGGGAAAACUUCGAAAAUCCGGCGCUAACAGGGGAUAAUAUUUUGAACCGCAUGGUUCGAUAGUGAAAGACGGUCUUGCUGUCUGGUAUAGCUGGAUCCGCGCUGCAUUAGCUAGUUGGUAAGGUAACGGCUUACCAAGGCAACGAUGCAUAGCCGACGUGAGAGGGUGAUCGGCGACACUGGAGGUUGGACACGGUCCAGACUCCUACGGGAGGCAGCAGUAGGGAAUCGUCCGCAAAGGGCGAAAGCCUUGCGCAGCAGCGCCGCGUCAGUGAUGAAGGUCUUCGGAUCGUAAAACUCUGUUAUUAGGGAAGAACAGAUGUGUAAGGAACCGUGCACAGCUUGACGGUACCUAAUCAGAAAGCCACGGCUAACUACGUG
rnacentral:rRNA from 1 species